rnacentral:rRNA from 1 species
UACGUAGGGUGCGAGCGUUGCCCGGAAUUAUUGGGCGUAAAGAGCUCGUAGGCGGUGUGUCACGUCGGCCGUGAAAACCUGCAGCUUAACUGUGGGCGUGCGGUCGAUACGGGCAUCACUGGAGUUCGGCAGGGGAGACUGGAAUUCCUGGUGUAGCGGUGAAAUGCGCAGAUAUCAGGAGGAACACCGGUGGCGAAGGCGGGUCUCUGGGCCGAUACUGACGCUGAGGAGCGAAAGCGUGGGGAGCAAACAGG